rnacentral:siRNA from 1 species
CGCAGGGACAUGCGGAAUCUCCUG